rnacentral:rRNA from 1 species
CCUACGGGUGGCAGCAGUGAGGAAUAUUGGUCAAUGGGCGCGAGCCUGAACCAGCCAAGUAGCGUGAAGGAUGACUGCCCUACGGGUUGUAAACUUCUUUUAUAAAGGAAUAAAAUGAGGCACGUGUGCCUUUUUGUAUGUACUUUAUGAAUAAGGAUCGGCUAACUCCGUGCCAGCAGCCGCGGUAAUACGGAGGAUCCGAGCGUUAUCCGGAUUUAUUGGGUUUAAAGGGAGCGUAGGUGGAUUGUUAAGUCUGUUGUGAAAGUUUGCGGCUCAACCGUAAAAUUGCAGUUGAAACUGGCAGUCUUGAGUACAGUAGAGGUAGGCGGAAUUCGUGGUGUAGCGGUGAAAUGCUUAGAUAUCACGAAGAACUCCGAUUGCGAAGGCAGCAUACUGGACUGCAACUGACACUGAGGCUCGAAAGUGUGGGUAUCAAACAGGAUUAGAUACCCCUGUAGUC